GCCUGGGUGGCUCAGUCGGUUAAGCGUCUGACUUCAGUUCAGGUCAUGAUCUCACAGUCCGUGAGUUCGAGCCCCGCGUCGGGCU
rnacentral:tRNA from 1 species